GACGGAGGGUGCAAGCGUUAAUCGGAAUUACUGGGCGUAAAGCGCACGCAGGCGGUUUGUUAAGUCAGAUGUGAAAUCCCCGGGCUCAACCUGGGAACUGCAUUUGAAACUGGCAGGCUAGAGUCUCGUAGAGGGAGGUAGAAUUCCAGGUGUAGCGGUGAAAUGCGUAGAGAUCUGGGGGAAUACCGGUGGCGAAGGCGGCCUCCUGGACGAAGACUGACGCUCAGGUGCGAAAGCGUGGGGAGCAAACAGG
rnacentral:rRNA from 1 species